UACGGAGGGUGCAAGCGUUAUCCGGAUUCACUGGGUUUAAAGGGAGCGUAGGAGGGCAGGUAAGUCAGUGGUGAAAUCUUCGAGCUUAACUCGGAAACUGCCGUUGAUACUAUCUGUCUUGAAUGCCGUGGAGAUGAGCGGAAUAUGUCAUGUAGCGGUGAAAAUGCUUAGAUAUGACAUAGAACACCGAUUGCGAAGGCAGCUCGUUACACGAACAUUGACUCUGAGGCUCGAAGCGUGGGAUCAAACAG
rnacentral:rRNA from 1 species